AUUCCAUUGGUCUACCUGUCAAUUUUUGUGCCAAUACCAAGCUGUCUUCAGGACUAUACCGGUUCUUAAAACCCUUCUUUUGUGUAGGAGAAGAAUCAGCACAACACCUUGGGUUAUUCAGUUGACUGCAACUAAGUUUUGUUCUAAGUAAUUUUGGAAAUGACCAGAAACAAAGUUUAAACUCGCUUAGGCAAUGCCAAAGAAGGGUGGUUCUCCUGGUCUCACAGGAAACCUCUGCCUCCUAUCUGUAGAAGGAACAGUUGGAAUUCUCACUUCCAACUCCAGUUUUCCUACUUGGGCUGCAUCUGUGGGAUGAUGGGACUGCUUGUUGCCACCUUCAAGAUAUCACCUAUAAUAGAGAAAAUUUGAGGGCGGUCUUGUGGUGAACUUGUAACAGUGGCCACACCUCCUUCGAUGUGGCCUUGGGCAGACAGAAGGGGAAAGAGGGAAGCUUGAGGCUUGGCUUUCCUUGGUGCUUUCUUUCUGGCGGGUCAGCCCAUCUGGUAGGAAGGGUAGAAAAAUACUCCCAUGGUUCUUUGUGUUUUCUGUGUAAAUGUUCCCCAAUAAACACCCAUUUAUUAUCUAUCUUGGGUCUAGUGAAAUAAUUAAAUCCUCGCUUUCAAGGGCAUGUGGAAUAAAAAUUUCAGGAUGCAUACAUGCAUGUUUAUUUUGGAAAACAGAUGCAAAUGACAACAACCUUACAUCUUUCAUGGCUCAGAAUAAUCCCUGCCUGGCACCCCCAAAGCUCCCCUUACUUGGAUUAGCCUUGGGGUAACCCUCUGCCAUCAUCUUACCUCACACUUAUGGUCUCACUCAGCAUCCUGAGUCAGAAUCCCACAUUUACCUGAUAGCUCAUAGUCAAUUCUGGGUCAGUCACCAAGAUGGAAUUAAAGUAGCAAUAGAUUAAUUGGGGACCGUCUGUGAAGACCAAAGGAAAGGAGACUGGGUGCUCAAAGGGAACUCCAAGAUGCUCCGCUGGUCUGAUUCCUGUGGAAUUAGUGAUGGGGAAAGAUGGGGUGGAAAAGCUAAAGACUGUUGCAUGAGAGUUUUGACCACACCAGUGGAGAGUACCGAGCCAGUGCUGCUCAUAAGGAAAUCCCCAUCAUGGGUAGAAAGAGGCUGAUUGCAAUGGCUGGCUGGAUUCAGCAUAGGCAAAAUAUGACCUUGGCAUUCAUGGAAGUCCGGGCCGAGCCUGCCAGUCAUGUUCACUGCAAGUCCUCUCAAAGAUCCAAGAGUUGCCGGGAGUUGGUGGCGUCCGCCUUUAAUCCCAGCACUAGGGAGGCAGAGACAGGCAAAUCUCUGUGAGUUCAAGGCCAGCCUGGUCACAAGCAUGUAAAACAUAGGGAGGGGGGAGCAGGGAGAAUAAAAGAGCUUGGGGAAUUCCAAGUCUUCAAUGUUGGAAUUGGCUGCCCCUCUGGGUUAAGGUCCAGAAAGGGCCAAAGUAUGUAUCUAGGCUAGGGGUUACUACUUCCUUAGAUAUUGCUGAAAUAUUAUGCUACACAGAAUAGGGAUGUCCUAAGAUAUUUUAUUAAGGGAGAAGUCACUUAUGUGGGAAGCCAAGAAAACCAAGAGCCAAAGGUUCCGAAGCUACUCUCCAGACCGGAAUGCAACCGGAGCCCAAAAGAGAGCAAGUCUCCUCCCCCAAGCUCUUUUAUCCAUACCCUUACAUUCUGCGUCCUAGUGACCACGCCCAAACGCUCUGUAACCGAUUGACAAUAUCAAGGCUUAACAGUACAGAAGGUUAUUUAUUACCUUGUGUGGAGUCCACUGCGAACCUGCGAAUCCCCUGGGCGUUUUCCAGGUGGUGGCUCAGAAAUCUGGGUUUUGCAAGUCAUGAGUCAACAGGUGCCUUGGUACCUGUGCCAGAAGAACACGGAAAGCCAAACUUCAGUUCUUAAGCGUGCCCAGCAGACCAAGACUCACAGUGACUCCAUUCAUGUUUCAGUGGUGAAGGAAGGCAUGUGGCUUCACCUAAUCCCAGAGAAAGAGGAAGGGUACCGUAGACAGGAGAUAUCCUGGGUGUAUUUGCUGAAAAACACAUUCAAAGUCACCGAUUGAGCCGAAGAGAGGCAGAGGAGCCAACAGAGGAAGCCAGGUAGCCUGGGUUCAAGGCUCUCCCUCAGACAUGCUGUAUGCAUCCUGUAUAGUGACUUCUGGCACCAUGCAAGCUGGCCAGCAGGCAGAGAAUUUCCUAGAUUUCAAGCCGUGACACCUAAGAAUACAUCCAUGAUCAGCAUGGCAAGAUAUCCAUAAAAAUGUGGAUACCCAACUUGGUACUUACAUGUUUCUGGUAACCGACAGCUGUCUCGGUGUAAUUAAGGCCCACUUAACAGGAGAGAAACCAUGCUUGGUACUGACAACUUAGUCAACUCUCAUGGGCUAGUGAAGUCAUGGGUCCAAGAGCAGAAUCUGAUGCCACCACUUUGCCAGACAGCACAAUUCAUUAACAACACUGCACAUCUUUUUUAUACCAACGGAGGUGCUUCUUCAGACAAGAAACAAUACAGUUUCAAUUUAGAAGUUGAUUAAUGCAUUGGGACAAGGAACCCUGAUGUACAGCUGCAGAGAGGGAAUGCCUGCCAGGAGAGCCAUUCAUCUGGGAAGUAAUUGCAUAUUUUACUUGGCUUUGGAUUUCUGGAAUGAGAUCUUUGGGAAAGGGCUUUUAAAUUUUACGUAAUUUCCAAAGCAGUGGUGUAGACUGGAUGUUUGCAUGAGUGGAGAUAAAGACAUUUAUCUCAAUGGAGAAUGUAGAGUUGAUGAGACAUUAAUCCCUCCACUCAGCACCUUGUGUCGGGUUUUUCUUUCUGGAGCUGCAGAUGGGGCUGAGCUCUUAUGAGCAGUUACCAAGAAGAGGCUGCAGCCAGCAGUGCCUGGAAGCGCGCUGUUGGCCCUGGCGGGAUGUUGGGAUCCUUCUGGGAAAGUCUCUUAGCUACUUUUUCUGUCUUGCAGCAGGUGAGUCCUGUGAAGGGAACUUACCCUGGCUCCCUUAGUCUCCUAUAUCAAUGUCAAUGUCACAUGACAGAUCUGUGAAGUCACCAGUCUUGUGGAAACCUGCUCAGUCGUCACACCUCUCUCUCUAGUAGCUCCUUUCUCGAGUCUUUAUUUCCUUUGGAAUAUUUCUUUAUUAAUUUUUUUGAGAUUGUAAUAUAGCUAUACCAUUUCCAUUUUCCCUCCCCUUUCCCCAUGUACCUCCUUGCUCUUACGCCAGGUCUUGAUAGAUGCAAGAGUGGCCUGUGAUAGAGAUUUGCAGAAACAAUGCCCAGACAUGGCCAGGUUGCUUUUACUUUAUUCCAUUCCAGACAGCAGACCAGUGAUCCAAAGAAUGUUACUGAGAUAUAGGACAUGUGAUCAUGCAGAGCGUGGUUUCUAGAGACCCUCUUGUUUCCUUGCCACAUUGAAGGACCCAGUCAGGCCAGGAGAUCCCAAAACUUCUUGAUAACUUCAUCAUUUAAAGAGUAGAUGAAAAUCUCACAGACUGGCCAGUGUCAACUGGACCUGACCAUCAGGUUCAUAGUUUGCUAUAACAUCAGAGUUACAGAAUCAAGAGUCUUUGUCCUCCAAACUAAGCAAUAGAAGAGAGACUACCUUAAUAGCCCUUCCCUGAUGAUAAGAUUGAUGACUACCUUAUAUGCCAUCCUAGAACCUUCAUCCAGUGACUGAUGGAAGCAGAGGCA